AUUUUUAAAACACUUGAGUGUCUACUUUAGUCGAUUCAAUUAGUUUAUGUGAAAGAUUUGAACUGAUUUAGUCAUUAAAGACGCUCAAAUUCAAGCUUAAAUAUGAAAAAUCUAUCAAAUAUGCCAUAAUAUGUCACUUUUUAGAUUUUUCUAUGUCAAAAAUGAAAGUGGCCGCAUCCGUGUUCAUUCUCAACCUUUAUAUAUGUUAUGUAUUAUCAUCAAAUGCAAAAAACUUACAUUUAAAUAUUAAGAAUGAAUACAAAUGCGGCCACUUCCAUUUCAGACGGAAACCGUCUAAAAAUUAACCAAAAUGCUACAAUUUCGAAGAUUUCAGUAAUUCAGCAUGACUUAAUGAUGCUAGUACCAGAUACAUGUGCAUUGUAUUGUCAAAAACAGCCCAUAUUUAUGUAACAGAAGUAUUCUACUUUCCAAUAAAUAGCUAAAAGUU
rnacentral:lncRNA from 1 species